rnacentral:rRNA from 1 species
GACGAACGCUGGCGGCGUGCCUAAUACAUGCAAGUCGAGCGGACAGAAGGGAGCUUGCUCCCGGAUGUUAGCGGCGGACGGGUGAGUAACACGUGGGUAACCUGCCUGUAAGACUGGGAUAACUCCGGGAAACCGGAGCUAAUACCGGAUAGUUCCUUGAACCGCAUGAUUCAAGGAUGAAAGACGGUUUCGGCUGUCACUUACAGAUGGACCCGCGGCGCAUUAGCUAGUUGGUGGGGUAAUGGCUCACCAAGGCGACGAUGCGUAGCCGACCUGAGAGGGUGAUCGGCCACACUGGGACUGAGACACGGCCCAGACUCCUACGGGAGGCAGCAGUAGGGAAGCUUCCGCAAUGGACGAAAGUCUGACGGAGCAACGCCGCGUGAGUGAUGAAGGUUUUCGGAUCGUAAAGCUCUGUUGUUAGGGAAGAACAAGUGCGAGAGUAACUGCUCGCACCUUGACGGUACCUAACCAGAAAGCCACGGCUAACUACGUGCCAGCCGCCGCGGUAAAAC